GUUGUUACUUUGUUUCUUAGUAUUUCAAUCUCAUCUGGUGCUGGGGAUUGAAGCCAGGGCUUCGUGUAUGCUAAUCACAUGCUCUGCCACUAGACUGCACCUCCAACAUUAAUAAAGUACAGACAAGGUUCACAAUGAAAAACGUCUAAAUGAAGCCUUGUUGCUAUCUUUCAGCCACUUGUUACCAUUUUUCUUUAGGUAUAUUUUAUAAACAUGGACGCGAACAGGUUAUAUCCAUUCAGCUAAUUGAAAAUAUACUAUAGACCCUUUUCUUCCCUCCCCUCCUGGCUCCCCUUUCCCUUUUUCCUCCCCCUCCCCUUCCCUUCCCCAUUCCUUUUUUUUUUUUUUUUUUUUUUAGAUUUAUUUAUUUAUUAUAUGUAAGUACACUGUAGUUGUCUGCAGACACGCCAGAAGAGGGAGUCAGAUCUUGUUACAGAUGGUUGUGAGCCACCAUGUGGUUGCUGGGAUUUGAACUCCGGACCUUCGGAAGAGCAGUCGGGUGCUCUUACCCACUGAGCCAUCUCACCAGCCCCCCCAUUCCUUUUCUGUUCCCUUCCAUGUCCGCAUACAUACGUUAGUUAAUAAAGGCUAAUCUCUUUCCCUUUACUCUGGUUGGUUGGUAAUCUAUUGUAUAGAUUUACCAUCAGAAAUUUAACAGUCACCCAUAGAUAGGCACUGCUUCAGCCUCUAUGUAUAUGACAAUGGCAGGCAUCCCUCAGAUGUGAGAGGUCUGAGGUUGUGCAGCUAUGAUCUAGACUGGAAGACCUCGUGUAGCAUCGGCUCCUGGUGAAGUCAGACAGCAAGAGAGCAUUUCUCCAGAGAGGAAGCCAAGGGCCCAGGAAGCCAAAUGUACUUCUACCAUAGGAGUUGGACUCUGGCCCUGCUAGGCCUGAGCAACCACUUGCUGACUACCAGAAAGAGAAUGCCAGCCACCCAGGAGAUAGGUGCCUUAAUCACUGAAAAUUCCCACUACCUCUCAACACCUUGGGAACUAAAUACAUUGGGAACUAAAGUUUGUUAAACAUGGAUUUUGAUGGGGACAAAUCACAUUGAAGUCACAACAGGCAUUUAGCAAGUCCUAAUCUUUUGAGUUACUGAUAAUAUUAAGGUAAAUAAUGCAGAGCAGGUGAGGUGAAAAGACAGGAUAGAGUCCUUGGACAGGAGGGAGGAUAAAGCAUUGGACAUUUGAUAAAAAUCCCGAGUUGCCCCUGAAGGCUGAAGAACAACCCCUCCUAACUCCUGCAUGGCACAUUCACGGUCAUUGCUAGCCCCUACUUUUGACAUUAUACCUUUUGGCCCUAUGCUGUCUUGCCUUCUCCUCUUUGCUACUUUGGUAGGAGAAGAAGUUCUAAUUUGAAUUUCUCCUAUAAAUGAAACUGAGCACCUUCUCUUUGCAUCUAAAAAUCUCGCGAACACUUGCUUUUAUAUGACCCAUAUAUUCAUUUCAUCAUGACUUCUGUGUAAUUUUUAAAAAAAUAUAUCAAAAAUAUCCAAAAGAACCAGAGUUAGUGAGACUAAUUUGUUCUCUAAGUGGCCAACAAAUCGCAACAUCCUUUGUUAUUUAUGUAUUUAUUUAUUUAAUGGGAAAACUGGUAACAUGUUCAGGUAAUUUUAAAACGAUUAUCUUAUUAAUUUAUUUUUAGUUUAGGAGACUCUGGUGUCCUCAUUGACACCACAUGCAGUCUGGCCCAGCCACAUGUGCAGUGACUUUUUUUAGGGUCAGACAUAGGUUAGUAGACUGUGUGCCUACCAGGUGUGGGUCCUGGGCUCUGCCCUCCAAACCUUAUUUUCUGUUAAUUUCUGUUAUUAAGAAGCUGUUUAUUAUUAAGCAUCUAUUCAGGGACAGUUCCUAUUCUAUAGGUAUGGAAAUAAACACAAUGUUUUAACCUCACGUAUCACUCUAUGCUAAACGAUACUCCUCUUUUGAAAUGUGGAGAAUAUGAGAUUCAGAGAAGCCGAGGCAUGGGAAACCAGCUCGAAAGGUCUCCCACUGACAGAUUUCCUCAGUCGAGACAGUCCUUAGCUUGACUCAUCACAAUGGCUUUCAUUAUAGCUGAGCCAGUGUAGUGCUAAGCAGAGACAACACUAAUUGGGGAAAUGGAUGUCUGAAUAAUUUUUCAUGACUUUUGAAAAGAUGGGGCCAUUGAUUUUUACUGCAUUUAUGCUUUGUAAACACAGUGUUGACUUUUUAAAUAUGCAGUUCAAUGUAGCAGACACACAGUGGCUACCUCUUAAGUAGCAUCAUGUCUGAAUAAGAUCGAGAAGAGCUGGAGUAUCAGUGAGGAUGGGUGACCACCAUGGGCAAAGGUCUCUGUGGGUUCCGUUUGGUCUGGGAAUGUUACUUUGGCAGAUGCUAAAAUGUCUUUUCAACACUCGGCUUUAUAAGUACAAACACACACUUUUGAGAACUAAGUCAGUCCAAGGACUGAAUUAAAUGUACCUCCUUAUCAGUCAGAUAAAAUAUGACUUUAGCCUCAAGCCAUAGUUUAUGUGCACAUCUAGAUGGUCUAGCAUCAGCUUCAGUUUCUGUCCCCUAGGUCUUUGCUGAUUCUACAACAAAAAAAUAGCCUGGAGGUAGCUCUGGGCAGACUGGACCCUCACAUUACCACAGAGCUCUCUCUUCAGCUCUCACAGCGGAUGCUUGCUGAACUGGCCACAUCUCUUAGAAGUUGAUGCUUUAAUAGCAGUACCCCAUUGCACCUAAUGUUUGUGUUUGCUCAAAAAAUUUAAAAUAAUAAACAUUUUUCCCCUCAAGGAAUUAACUACUGAGUUGCCAGGGUUCAGUUUCUUCUACGUGUCAUUCAUAUUAUAUACAGCAUAUUCAUAGGUAUAUGUGCAUAAAUAUUUGCAUGCAUAUAUUUCAUUUUGUCUUAGUUUGGGUUUCAUUGUUGUGAAGAGACAACAUGACCAAGGUAACUAUUGUAAAGGACAACACUUAAUUGGGGCUGGCUUACAGAUUCAGAGGUUCAAUCCAUUAUCAUCAUGGCAGGAAACAUGGCAAGGUCAAGGCAGACAUGGUGCUGGAGAAGGAGCUGAGAGUUCUGCACCUUGGUUAGAAGCAGCCAGGAUACUGGCAUUGCAAGGUGAAUAUGAGGAGGCUCUCUUUCACACUGAGAGGAGCCUGAACAAAGGAGUUCAAAGCCCAUCCCCACAGUGACACACUUCCUCCAACAAGACCACACUAACUAAUAGUGUCACUCCCUGGGCCAAGCAUAUUUAAACCACCACACAUAUAUAGUACUAUUAUAUCCAUUUAAAUUAAUGACGAAUUUUUAUUUUAUUUGUUUAUGUGCAUGUGUGAGUACUUGCAUGUAUAUCUAUCUGCACACCAUAUGUACUUUGAUGUUCUUUGGGGUCAACAGAGAGGGUCAGAUUCUAUGGAACUACAGGCACUUGUGGGCCACCACAUAACUGCUGUGUAAUGAGUCAUGGUUCUUUGUAAGAGCAAGAUAUGCUCUU
rnacentral:lncRNA from 1 species